UCCAAUUUUGCCGCCAGGCGAGGCAAUUUGAUGGGAUCUCUCACCCAUCGUCUUUCUUUUCCACAUCGCUUAACCCUUCCAUUUCGAUCGCGUUUCCUAGCUGGAGUUCGCUUUCGUGACUUCGGCCUGCUAGCAGAAGAUUAGAAAGAAGAAGGGAUGGCGAGUUCAUGGUAGCCCUGUUCUUGAUGACGCCAUCUUCCAAAGGAAAGAAGAACGAGAGCAUUCCAGUUCGAUUCAUCAACCGAGGGAGGCAAAGGGGCAAAAGAACCCAAAUUUGAUGUUCCUUCAGGUAGCUCUCCUGUUCUUGCUGAUGCAAUCUUCCGGCAAUGGAAGCACAUUAUUCCAGUUAGAAUCAUCUGCCGACGGAGGCAAAGGGCCCAAAAAAACACCCAAUUUUGAGUAGCCCUGUUCUUGAUGAUGAGGUUUUCCGGCAAUUCGAGGUUCCUCCCGAAGGAAUGGAUCAUGUGGAGGGAGACCACCGACCGCAGUGGAAGCAGCUGAUUCCAGUUAGAAUUAUCAUUUCAAGUAAUCAUUCUGCCAUCUAAUGAAGUCAGAUCGGAGUCGUAUGUUGGAAAUCAACUCAUGUUGGAAUGGAGCAAUGUAAGUGACACAAGGCAACAUCUCAUUCUGGUUUAGUUCAAUGGACGCGUUGCCGCGACACACAUCUCUUCCAGCUUUCGAUCACUGUAAGGGACGCUCCUCAGCCGCAACAGGCUUCUCCUUCUCAGCUUUAUGAGCCACCCAUUCUUCUUCCGCGACUGGUUUCAGCUCGCUGAUCCCCGGAUGGAGCUCUUCAGCCGCGGCAGCAGUAGCGGUCGAGCCCUCGCCGGCCGGCUCAGAGAGGUCGACCAGCGGCGUUUCCUUGCUCUCCUCGACCUCGACGCUCUCAGACUUAGCCUGCACAUUCUGAAAUCAAGGACAUAAUUCUGAUAUCGUUCGUUGAGAAUAUGCAUGCAGGUAAGGUGCUCGAGGAAAGUACAAGCUUACCUCAGGGGGAGUAGGCUCGGCCGUGGAUGGGUUAUCGGCGGCGGCAGGGCCGUCGGGGUUUCUGGGGCCAUUUAUCUCCUGAGGUUUGCUCGCACAGCCACCCAUCGAGCCUUGUGCAGCAGAAACCUUACGGAGAGGAAGAACAGGUGAAUAGAGAGUCCCAAAAGCUUCCUUUUAUGAAGGAUAGAGGAGAAUUGGGUGUGUUCUUGUCCAAGUUUAGAAGAGGGAUUCAUUUGGUGGUUGUUUCCGGAGCCCUUUUAAAUGGGCAAAUCCUUCUCCGCCAACCUCGAGCUUUCAGGGGAAACCAGCGGUCAGCGUUGACGACAGUUUGUGGAAGUUGGUUUCCCGGGAGAAGAAGGCGGGAGAGGCUUCAUGAUCACCUCGAAACCGUCCAUCCUAUCAUAGCUAUUCAUCUGGACCGUCCGCAAAUGAUUAGUAUCAAAGAAUCCGUAUGAUCGACCUACAUGGGUGGCUGAGAUUAAAAGUUAUUAUAGGAUGGAUGAUCCAAUGAGUUAUCUCUAAAUGGAGUCCAUAAGCAUUCCUAUAA